rnacentral:misc_RNA from 1 species
GAAUGCUGCAAGGCUGGACCAACAUAAGCACUAAUCAAAACAAUAUCUAGGAUGGCUCAGUUCUUGGUUUGCAAACUCAUAAAGAACAAUUUUGAACAUAUUAAGGUUCUGUUUUUAAUUGCAGAAAAUAUAUUUUUCAUACUUUUUAGUGUUCAGUGCCCAUAGGAAAAUUGGUAAAUUGGACAAUUAAGUCAUUACAAAAAUGACUACAUAUUUUUACAAUGGGAGGUCAUUUUCCAAACUUCCACAAAACUCAUAAAAGGUGAAGAAGUUUAAAAGCGAGCCAUAUAACCACAUAAAUACAAGAC